AGAGUUUGAUCCUGGCUCAGAGUGAACGCUGGCGGCGUGCUUAACACAUGCAAGUCGAACGGUAACAGAAAGAAGCUUGCUUCUUUGCUGACGAGUGGCGCACGGGUGAGUAAUAUAUAGUUAAUCUGCCUUCAAGAGAGGGAUAGCCAUUGGAAACGAUGAUUAAUACUUCAUAUGCCCUUAAUACAUAAGUAUGCAGGGGAAACGAAUUUUUGCUUGAAGAUGAGACUAUAUCGCAUCAGUUAGUUGGUGGGGUAAUGGCCUACCAAGACAAUGACGCGUAGCGGGUUUGAGAGGAUGAUCCGCCACACUGGUACUGAGACACGGACCAGACUCCUACGGGAGGCAGCAGUGAGGAAUAUUGCACAAUGGGGGGAACCCUGAUGCAGCAACGCCGCGUGGAGGAUGACGCAUUCCGGUGUGUAAACUCCUUUUAUAAGGGAAGAAGAUGACGGUACCUUAUGAAUAAGCUCCGGCUAACUCCGUGCCAGCAGCCGCGGUAAUACGGAGGGAGCAAGCGUUACUCGGAAUCACUGGGCGUAAAGGACGCGUAGGCGGGUUGGAAAGUCAGGUGUGAAAGCCUACAGCUUAACUGUAGAACUGCACUUGAAACUCUCAACCUAGAGUAUGGGAGGGGCAGAUGGAAUUAGUGGUGUAGGGGUAAAAUCCGUAGAUAUCACUAGGAAUACCCAAAGCGAAGGCGAUCUGCUGGAACAUUACUGACGCUAAGGCGUGAAAGCGUGGGGAGCGAACGGGAUUAGAUACCCCGGUAGUCCACGCCCUAAACGAUGAACACUAGUCGUCGGAGUACUAGUUACUUCGGUGAUGCA
rnacentral:rRNA from 1 species